rnacentral:lncRNA from 1 species
GCUGGCUCUGAUUGUGGUAGGACCCUCAAUCGAUCUUCUCUACCUUCAGACCGGCAUUGAAUGAAUCUGUUGAGCCGACUUCGUCUGAUGAGCUCCUCGAUUUUGUCUUGGAGUUGAAUACACUCCUCCGUGUUGUGGUCGUGGUUACGAUGAUAAAGGCAGAACUUGUUAGGGUUGCACUCUUUGAGGUGUGUGCGCAUCCUUUCCGACCUCGACAGUUGCUCCCUGAUCUCCAUCAGCACUUGAGUUUUUGGAGCAUUAAGAGGGGCGUAGCUGUGGAAUCUUUCUGGGGGAGAGCUCCGUCGAACUCUGCAGUCCAGACUUCUCUGCCUAUGAGCUC